AUGGUCCAUGAGGUUUAUUCACAGCAGUUCAAGAAUGAUUUCACACAUUUCCUUAAGCUGAGAGCCAAAGGAAUGGCCCCAAGAGGCUGGAUGAUUAUUUCCAUUAUUGGGAGGCCUUCUGAUGGAAGCACCUUCGAAUUCUUGCACACAUGGGAAGUCAUAGCUCAAACUCUAAGUAUCAUGGCCUCGGAGGGAGAUGCGGGUACGCGGCCCUACAACUCAUACGGAAGAUGCUCUCCUCACCCAACCAUGUUUGUGAACGAGAUGAGAGCCAUGUCUGAGCCGAUAAUUGUGCAGCAUUUCGGAGACAUGAUGGAUGAGUUCACCGGGAUUGGGAAGUGGUAUUGGAGCCUGGAGGGGAACUUGCAGGAAAUGCUUGCCAAGGACACAUUGGUGGCCGUAUCGCUUAGCAAGACGGCCAUGAAGAUCAAAAAUCACAUGAAGUAUUAA
rnacentral:rRNA from 1 species